rnacentral:misc_RNA from 1 species
UUCAAUCAUGACACUUUUUGAAGGAGAUGAGGAAUCUUAAAAAUCAUGUCUUUGGUGGAACCUUUCUGUCUCAUAUCUCCAUCUACCUUUAACCACAGUUCCAAGUUAUCAGGGUCAGGGACAGCUGACUUGGGAAGAACAGAACUAAUAGGUGUGAACGUAUCCUGCCCUUUGGCCACAGACCAUGGAAGCCCUGCAGACUUGGCAGAUGCUUGGAUUUCCCUAGCAGUCAUAUCCAAGGCAAGAGCAUAACCUCCAACGUAAUCCAUGGCGGUGGUCUGGGGCACAUCGCGAGCUUUCUGGCCGAUCACGACGGCGAGCUCCACUUCAUGAUCCAGCGACUCCAAGGGAUGGGGAAUCUCGAUAGUGCCUCCAUUCUCCAAGUAAGACGAGGUUGGUUUGAGGAACAAAACCGGCUCCUUAGGAACGGCGUUGCCGAGUUCUUUGGCGUGAGCGGCGUAGUUACGGCCAACGGCGACGAUCUUUGUCCCAACUUGCAGGAGCUUCUGUACGCCUGAUGAUGCCGUCGCCAUUUCUCUUUCUUCUUUAGUUCUUCCACGGAGAAAGCCCAAAUGCUGGAGUCCCUUUGAGACUUUGACAAUACGCUGUUUGUGAAUUAUGAAUUUCAAUUUCUUUGAAAA